CCAGCUCAGCCAAAUCUCCACUCUGCUAUAGCAGAAGCAAUAAUGUUUGCUUUAAAAAGAUUUCUUGACCUAUGCCUUUUCUUAGAAAGUUUGAUAGAUUAGUUAGAACUUCAGAUCAUCAGAUCAGUCUCAAAUGCGUUUCUUGGAAUUUUAUAUUUGACAAUAUUUAUACUAUACCAAACUCAUUUGCAGUUCUUAGGUUUGUUGGUUAAAACAUUUUUUUAAAGCAGUAAGUUUAUAGAAAAUGUUUUCAUUUAAUGGAAGGCUGGGGAAUGUCCAGCAUCAACCCCUAUGGCAUGCAUUCCCAGUGGCCUUCUCAUCUGGGCCUGGAACCUUUGGUUCAGGGCUUAGGGGAGAACAGGCCACAUGGCAACAGCCACACAGUCAUUGCCUUCAACACAGAGCCACGUGUCCCCAAACAGCAAUAGUCAUGCCCUUGUCCAGGCUGGGAUCUAAUUGAUACAAUAGGUCGUUGACUCCCUCCUAGUAGAGCUAUCUAGGUUUGUCUGGAAAGUUUCCGACCCUGGCUUAUAGGCACCACACCUCAUGUACUCCUCAUGGCUUGGAUCUCUGUAUUCAGCCUUUGUUCAGUCCAAUAAACUUUGAGUAGAUGAUCUC
rnacentral:lncRNA from 1 species